rnacentral:lncRNA from 1 species
AUGACAUCGUGGACACCUGUCAAUAUGGAAUUGCAGGGACGGAAGAGGCUGUUUGAUCUUAAUCUAUUUCUCGCCACUGUGGAUCAGUUCUGUCUCUGUUUCAUCUCUCAUAGGUUUAAAUGGCCUGCACAGAGGAGGCUCGAGAUAAGUCUUCAGAAAUACCCAGCUGACCUUGGAAUGAGCCUUGCUUGGAUUUGCUUACAGGACCCACAUGACGUUGGUUUACAGUGCAUGAUGAAGCAGUUUUCUUUUCUCCUCUUCACAACUGAAGUUAUUUUAAUCCACUGCUGCAAGAGAUCUGCACUUGAUGACAGGCCAACCGUUCAUGCUGCUAAAC